rnacentral:lncRNA from 1 species
GGAUCCCGAAGCCAGGAGAGAGGUGUCACCGCUUUGACACCCUCAAGCCAGGCACUGGCUACCCCAAAGCCGUGCUUUCCGCCCAGUUCUUCAGGCUGGGUUUGUCUCUCCCCCUCCAUCCUUUCAUCCUGGAGGUCUUGGACUUCUAUGAGGUCUCCCCCAUGCAGCUCACCCCCAACUCCUACCGCAUGGCGGUCUGCCUCUACAUCCUCUAUGACAUCCACCAUGGGGUGAGGAUGUCUGCCUUGGAGUUGGGCUGGUUCUUCCAGCUGAAACUUACCGGCAGGACCCCAGGGUUCUUCUACCUCACUGCCUGGAACACCCAUCAUAAGAAGGGCAUCAAGGGCAACCGCCAGUCGAUGUCGGACUGGCAGAAGCUCUUCCUUUACUGCUAUGACUGCCCAGUCUACAGGAAGGACUUCAAUCUCUCCCCCAGUAAGCCAGCUUUUCCUUAAUCCAUUGUCC